rnacentral:rRNA from 1 species
GAUGAACGCUGGCGGCGUGCCUAAUACAUGCCAGUCGAGCGAACGGACGAGAAGCUUGCUUCUCUGAUGUUAGCGGCGGACGGGUGAGUAACACGUGGAUACCCUACCUAUAAGACUGGGAUAACUUCGGGAAACCGGAGCUAAUACCGGAUAAUAUUUUGAACCGCAUGGUUCAAAAGUGAAAGACGGUCUUGCUGUCACUUAUAGAUGGAUCCGCGCUGCAUUAGCUAGUUGGUAAGGUAACGGCUUACCAAGGCAACGAUGCAUAGCCGACCUGAGAGGGUGAUCGGCCACACUGGAACGGAGACACGGUCCAGACUCCUACGGGAGGCAGCAGUAGGGAAUCGUCCGCAAUGGGCGAAAGCCUGACGGAGCAACGCCGCGUGAGUGAUGAAGGUCUUCGGAUCGUAAAACUCUGUUAUUAGGGAAGAACAUAUGUGUAAGUAACUGUGCACAUCUUGACGGUACCUAAUCAGAAAGCCACGGCUAACUACGUG